rnacentral:lncRNA from 1 species
UUUCAUUUCAUCUCAUUACAUUUCAUCUAAUUUCAUUUCACCUCAUUUCAUCUCAUCAUUUCAUUUCAUCUCAUUACAUUUCAUCUAAUUUCAUUUCACCUCAUUUCAUCUCAUCAUUUCAUUUCAUCUCAUCAUUUCAUCUUUUCAUCUCAUUUCAUCUCAUCAUCUCAACCCUUUUCAUCUUAUCUCAUCAUUUCAUCAUUUCAUCUCAUCUCGUAUCUUAUCUCAUUUCAAUUUCAUUUCAUUAUUUCAUGUCAUCUCAUCUCAUCAUUUCAUCUCAUCAUUUCAUCUCAUCACAUCUCAUCAUUUCAUCAUUUUAUUUCAUCAUCUCAUCAUUUCAUCUCAUUUCGAUUUUAUUUCAAUUUCAUUUCACUAUUUCAUUUCAUCUCAUCAUUUCAUCUCACCAUUUCAUUUCAUCAUCUCAUCUCAUCAUUUCAUUUCAUCAUUCAUCUCAUCAUCUCAUCAUUCAUCUCAUUUCAUAUCAUUUUAUCUCAUCUAUUUCAUCUCAUUUCAUCUCAUCUCAUUCCAUCAUUACAUCUCAUUUCAUCUCAUUUUAUGUCAUCAUUUCAUCACAUCUCAUCUCAUCAUUUCAUCUCAUUUCAUCAUUUCAUCUCAUUUCAACUCAUUGCAUCUCAGCUCAUCAUUUCCAUUUCAUUAUUCCAUUUCAUCAUUUCAUUCAUUAUGGCAUUUCAUCUCAUCAUAUUUCAUCUCAUCUCAUCAUUUCAUCUCAUUUUAUCUCAUCUCAUCAUUUCAUCAUUUCAUCUCAUCAUUUCUUC